GAAUAGAGUGUCAGCUGCAAUCAAAGGGGGAGGGAGGAGAGUGGUCAGUUACACACACCAUUGCACAAUAAGAGCACUCAAUUCAGUUCAGUUCAAUUCAAAAGAUUGCAGAAAGAUAGUAAGAUGAAACUUUUAGCUUGGAAUUUAAAGGUAUCUUAAAAGUUUGUGGAAAAAGAAAUUUCCCUCCUCUUCAAAGCUGUCUGUAAAAUCAAGAUGUUCCUGAAAAAUUGGGAUGUGGUGUAACUAAGGAGUGGGAGGAUCCUAAAGGAACUUAUAUUAAGGAGAUUCAUUAGCUUUUCCUUCUGAAGAGUUAGGUAAUUAUGACAGCUUGUAGGCAUUCCAGAUGCAUUUACUAAACUUUUUUUACUAAAUAAUUCCUCACAAUUCAGCUCCCAGAAUUCUUCAUGUUUCUCCAGGCUACUUGGAUUUCCAGCAAUAAAUUGGAGUGCCAUAGGUUGCCUCUCCCUGCCCUGCUGACCCAGGUAAGAGAGGGUGCUAGUAUUGGGAUAAAGGAAUCCAAUGUCUUAUAUUAGGGGUGUCAAACUCGCAGCCCGGGCCAGAUGCAUUACAUGUUGGCCACGGACGCCCGAUUUAGCAAAGGGAGAAAAGUCACACUGUCACGUGAUGCUGCGAGUUUGACACCCUGCCUUACAUGAUCAACAUGGCAUAAAGAAUAGUUUCCUAACAAUUUCACUAUUUCUAAUGUUUAAAAUUGCAAAUUGCUAGCCCUUAAGACGGGUGUCAAACUCUAUUUCAUUAAGGGCCACAUCCGGUUGUGUUUGACCUUGGAGGCGUGGCCAACUCAAUAUCACAUGUUUUGGGGGUGCCUGUGGUGGCCCAAGGGCUCUGCCGGUGAAAACAGACUCCCGAGCACAUUUUUGGCUGCAAAGGCUUCCUACGACCUUCUGCCAUUGAAAUCGGGCCCAUGCAAGUUUCGUUUCCGGCUGCGAUUGCAUCCUGCAACCGUCUGUCAGUGAAAAUGGAGGUGUCCCUCCUGAGCUCAGCUGGCAGAAGCAAUGUGUGCUGGUCCUUUGCUGUUUCCAGGGUGGCCCUUCGGGCCAGAUUUAAGCACCUUGUGGGCUGGAUCCAGCCCCCGGACCUUGAGUUGACACCCCUGCCUUAAGAUGUUCCUAAAUGCUAAACAGAUGUAGAUAAUCCCACUUAUUUAGCUAUAUGAAGUUUGGGAGCUAAUAUGUGUAAUUAGGACAAAAUAUUUUUUGUUUUCACUGCUUUUCCUAUCUUGGACAAAACCCAGCUUCAAAUAUUCAACCAUCCUUGAUAUAACAUUGCAUAAUUUCAAUUACUCUUUGACCUCUGUUGUUGUAGCUGUUAUAGCAUAGGUUGGCUCAAAUGCUUGUUGAUUCCAUAAAUUAAUAUAUUCCUUAAUAAUAAAAAUGGAUGGUAAAAAAUGGUAAACAUCUAACAUUUGCUGAAUUUCAUGAAUUCAUUCUAGACAUGAAACAGAGUAGCGCAUGCUGGCUUUAAAUCUUUUUUUUUUUUUAAGAGAAUAUUUUUUUAAAAUAAAAAGGAAUAGAUGGAAGAAAGACAAGAAAAAUAAGUCAAAUUUCCUCAAUUUUUCUCAAUUCCAGGUUAAUUAGAUUGCGAUAUCCAAACACAGUUUCCAAUAAAAGCUAAUAAGUUGAACAGGACCAGUUGGAAAAAGUACAUAAUAGAAACAAUGGCCUUAUUUUACCUGAGCCCGGAGAACAGUCUCUUGUUCCUUUAGCAUUUUUGUCUGUAGUUUCCAUUCUGCUGCUUGGGUAAGUAGCUAUUUGGGAUUUAAGAAUGCAUACAAUAUUUGAAAGAUCAAGUAAUUCACAUUUUAAAAAAAUCUUUGCAAAUCUUUGCUAUUUGUAAAAUAUUGCAUGUUUGAUUAAUAUCUAAUGAAAUGAAUGGAAUCCAAAAAAUAUAUGAAAUUACUUUUUUAAACAAGUCUUUUUGUUCUGGUAACAUAGUAUAGUCGUUUUUUCUUUCUUUCUUCUUUUUAUGGCCCUGUAAUCCCUUUUUAUCGGGGUGGAGUCAGGGUGACUGAAUGAAGCUGAGUAUUUACUAGCUAGAUGCCCUUCCCGACACCUAUGCUGAAUUCUCAGCAGCUAUUUACACUUUACAUCCUGAUAGAGAAACAUCUGUCGCUACCUAGGAUUGAACGCUCAACCUUCCGAGUGGGAGAUGAGUGUCUUCACCUCUAGGCAAUGUUUUUUAAAAUAAGCGCUAUAAAUCUAAUAAAAUCCUCAUAUGGCUUUUCAUGAGGUUUUCAGAACUUUGUCCUUUUAAAAUCCUCCAUGCUUUGGUGAGAAACAACAAAGAUUAAAAUAAAAUCCAUGUAGCGUGGUGAGGUUGAUAGCAAAGCAGAGGGAAUGACUGUUAAAGUGGGGUGACAAAUAUUCUGAGAUCUAAAUUUCAGACUUAAUUCUUAAUCCUGCAAACUAUCCACAUUUUGAUAAUGCUUAAUGUUUUGCCAGAGCCGCAUAGCCACCUAUUUCCUAUUUCAACUGGAAUUAGUUUUUACCUGCCAUAACCAAAUAGAACAGAUGAGGCAGAAACUGCUUCUAUGUGUAAUUUGUUCUGGCUCAUUAAUUAGUUUUAUUUUGCCCUCUCUACUCUACAGCUCAACUUGACACAUUUAAUUUACAAGACAAAUCUGGGAGCUACUUGUAAUAAAAGCAACUGUUCAAAGCAAUAUUUUCAAUUAACAUUUAUUUUUAAAAGCGAAUUGUAUCGCCUGGAGUUAUCUUCCAAAUCAGAAAAGUUCUGCGCUGGUAUUGGUGCUUUUAUUAAUAAAAUAUGAUGGAAGGGAAAGCCAACUCAUAAAGAAUAUACAAUUCCUGAAUGCAGUUGGUUGUUUUUAUUUGCUCCUAGAAAUAAAGAAGGGCUAAUGUUAUUUCAUUUUUAUUUAUUAAUUAAAUUUAUAUAGCUGUCCAUCUCACCAAAGGGAACUUUGGGUGGCACAAAAGAAUAGAUAAAAUAGCCAAUAGAAUAGCAGAUUAAAAACAAAUCCACAGUAAUAAACAUACAAACAAAAAUAUUGUGGAUUUUAAACAUAGUAUUAUGCUCAAUAGAAGAGAGGAUAAAAAUGGCCUCCCUCAACAGUGAAGUUACUGAGACAAAUGUUUGAUUCUCUAGCAGCUGCUGACUUGGCACCAUAACCAAAUCUGGAAGACUGUUCAAAAAAAUCAAAAGGAAUGCGCCAAUCAGGAGGAAUGGAUAUUCUGUAUUGCAGGUGCUACAGCAGAGAAGGCAUAUCUCCUAGGAUCUACCAAAUGUAAUUUUCUGGCCAAGGUAUCCACUGCAUGCCUUCUCUCUGUGACCUAAUGGGAUGGGCUGAUACAAAUGGGCAGAGGUGAUCCCUCAUGUAACCUGCUUUUAUGCCAUGAAGGGCUUUAAAGGUUAAAACCAGCACUUUGAAUUGAACCUGGAAGUAAACUGGCAACUAAUGCAACUUGUGGAUCAGAAGUGUAAGGUGUUGCCCUAGGACCAUGAUGGCGAACUUAUGGCAUGCGUGCCACAGGUGGCACUCGGAGCCAUAUCUGAGGCAUGCGCUGGUCAGCUGAUUUUCGGUCUUCCGCAGGGUGGGGAAAGCCUCCAGAGCCUGUGGAUGGUGAAAAAUAUUGGCUGUGUUGGAGUCCCUCCCAGAAGUUCACAUUAGAUUGUAAUUUUUCAUUGGAAUUGAAGGAAAUUAUAUUCAUGGAAGUGGUUAAUUAUAAACUACGGUACAUUUAAGUAAUAUGCUCUUAAUUUAAUGUAAAUAAAAUUAAUGCAAAUAAAAUUAGUUUUAAUUUUUAUAUUGAA